rfam:Paenibacillus polymyxa SC2 plasmid pSC2, complete sequence.
GAACGCCGUGUGCGGGGAAACUCGCAUGCACGGUGUGGAGUGGGGGAAAAGGUUAGUCGAUUAAGACUAUUUAUGGAGGGUGCAAGACCCUAAGACUUACCUAUCACUAU